AACCUACCCCAUAGAGCCGGGACAACCCUUGGAAACGAGGGCUAAUACCGGAUAAUCUUAGAUGUUGGCAUCAACGUUUAAGGAAAGGUGGCCUCUGAAGAUGCUACCGAUUAUGGAUGGACCCGCGUCUGAUUAGCUAGUUGGUGGGGUAAAGGCCUACCAAGGCGACGAUCAGUAGCCGGCCUGAGAGGGUGAACGGCCACACUGGGACUGAGACACGGCCCAGACUCCUACGGGAGGCAGCAGUGGGGAAUCUUCCGCAAUGGACGAAAGUCUGACGGGGCAACGCCGCGUGUAUGAUGAAGGUCUUCGGAUUGUAAAGUACUGUCUUUGGGGAAGAACGGUCUCUUUGAGAAUAUUGAGGGGACAUGACGGUACCCCAAGGAGG
rnacentral:rRNA from 1 species